CACUGGAAGGUCCCUAAACCGAAAGGGGCUCUGCCCGCCCGAGGAUGGGCCGGCGGCCGAUUAGGUAGUUGGUGGGGUAACGGCCCACCAAGCCCAUAAUCGGUACGGGCAGUGAGAGCUGGAGCCCGGAGAUGGACACUGAGACACGGGUCCAGGCCCUACGGGGCGCAGCAGGCGCGAAACCUCCGCAAUGCUCGAAAGAGCGACGGGGGGACCCCAAGUGCCGUGGUACAACCACGGCUUUUCCGGAGUGUAAGAAGCUCCGGGAAUAAGGGCUGGGCAAGGCCGGUGGCAGCCGCCGCGGUAAUACCGGCGGCCCGAGUGGUGGCCACUAUUAUUGGGCCUAAAGCGUCCGUAGCCGGGCUUGUAAGUCCCUGGCGAAAUCCCACGGCUCAACCGUGGGGCUUGCUGGGGAUACUGCAAGCCUUGGGACCGGGAGAGGCCGGGGGUACUCCUGGGGUAGGGGUGAAAUCCUAUAAUCCCAGGAGGACCGCCAGUGGCGAAGGCGCCCGGCUGGAACGGGUCCGACGGUGAGGGACGAAGGCCAGGGGAGCAAACCGGAUUAGAUACCCGGGUAGUCCUGGCUGUAAAGGAUGCGGGCUAGGUGUUGCUUGGACCUCGAGUCCAAGCAGUGCCGCAGGGA
rnacentral:rRNA from 1 species